CUUUCCUCUUCCUUUUCCUCUUCCUCUCCCUCUUCCUCCUCACUGUCAACAGUCAACUUGAUCCUUUUUGCAUGUGAUCCUGUUUCACAUGGCAGUGAGCAUGGUGCUG
rnacentral:miRNA from 1 species